UACAGAGGUCUCAAGCGUUGUUCGGAUUCAUUGGGCGUAAAGGGUGCGUAGGUGGCGGGGUAAGUCAGGUGUGAAAUCUCGAGGCUCAACCUCGAAACUGCACUUGAUACUGCCUUGCUCGAGUACUGGAGAGGAGAUUGGAAUUACGGUGUAGCAGUGAAAUGCGUAGAUAUCGUAAGGAAGACCAGUGGCGAAGGCGAAUCUCUGGACAGUUACUGACACUGAGGCACGAAGGCCAGGGGAGCAAACGGG
rnacentral:rRNA from 1 species